rnacentral:rRNA from 1 species
UACGAAGGGUGCAAACGUUGCUCGGAAUUAUUGGGCGUAAAGAGCUCGUAGGCGGUCUGUUGCGUCGGCUGUGAAAACCCGGGGCUCAACCCCGGGCCUGCAGCCGAUACGGGCAGACUAGAGUUCGGCAGGGGAGACUGGAAUUCCUGGUGUAGCGGUGAAAUGCGCAGAUAUCAGGAGGAACACCGGUGGCGAAGGCGGGUCUCUGGGCCGAUACUGACGCUGAGGAGCGAAAGCGUGGGGAGCGAACAGG